rnacentral:rRNA from 1 species
GACGAACGCUGGCGGCGUGCUUAACACAUGCAAGUCGAACGGAAAGGCACUGCUUGCAGGGUCCUCGAGUGGCGAACGGGCGAGUAACACGUGGGUGAUCUGCCCUGCACUUCGGGAUAAGCCUGGGCAACUGGGUCUAAUACCUGAUAGGAGACAUUUUCAGUGUGAGGGUUGGAAAGUUUUUUCGGUGUUGGAUGAGCUCGCGGCCUAUCAGCUUGUUGGUGGGGUAAUGGCCUACCAAGGCGGCGACGGGUAGCCGGCCUGAGAGGGUGGGCGGCCCCAUUGGGACUGAGAGACGGCCCAGACUCCGACGGGAGGCAGCAGUGGGGAAUAUUGCACAAUGGGCGCAAGCCUGAUGCAGCGACGCCUCGGGGGGGAUGACGGCCUUCGGGUUGAAAACUCGUUUCGCUAGGGACGAAGCUUUUUGUGACGGUACCUAGAGAAGAAGCACCGGCUAACUACGUG